rnacentral:rRNA from 1 species
AUUGAACGCUAGCGGGAUGCUUUACACAUGCAAGUAGAACGAGUGGCGAAGGGGUGAGUAAUAUAUCGGAACGUGCCCAGUAGCGGGGGUUACCUCCUCAAACGAGUGCCUAUUACGGCUAACUAUUGGAGUGGCCGGUAUCGGAUUAGCUAGUUGGUGGGGUAAAGGAACACAAAGGCAACGACCCGUAGCUGGUUUGAGAGGACGACCAGCCACACGGGGACGGAGACACGGCCCAGACUCCUACGUGAGGGAGCAGUGGGGAAUUUUGGACAAUGGGGGAAACCCUGAUGCAGCCAUCCCGCGUGUAUGAGAAGGCCUUCGGGUUGUAAAGUACUUUUGUCAGGGAAGCGGUAUCUGCAGAAUAAGCACCGGCUAACUACGUGCCAGCAGCCGCGGUAAUUC